rnacentral:tRNA from 1 species
GUUAAAGUGGCAGACUCCGGUAAUGCCCUAGACUUAAAACCUUACAAUGGGGGUUCAAAUCCUCCCUUUGACU